rnacentral:tRNA from 1 species
CAGUGUGUAGCUCAAAUAGAAGAGCAUCUCCCUUACACUGAGAAGAUUCCUGUGCGAACCAGGCCACACUGA